CCCGAACACGACUGGUUGUACAUUUUACGCACGAUUUAUUCACGAUCCAGAAAACAGUGUUGGCGGGUUCGAUUCCGUCAGGGGACGAGUUGGCCGCGGCCCGGCCGGCCCAUUCCCGGCCCGGCCGACUAUGGGCCGGCUGGCCAUUGACCAGCAUUAGUAGAGCCCUCACGCGCCGAGGGAUAUGAGCGACUUGUUAUGUCCUCUCUUCUUGUCAUAAAAAUAUUUUCGUCACCAAAAAAAGUUUUGCCAUAAAGCAACAAACU
rnacentral:lncRNA from 1 species